rnacentral:rRNA from 1 species
AUUGAACGCUGGCGGCAGGCCUAACACAUGCAAGUCGAACGAGUGGCGGACGGGUGAGUAAUAUCUGGGAAACUGCCUGAUGGAGGGGGAUAACAACUGGAAAAGGUAGCUAAUACCGCAUACCAUCAGAUGUGCCCAGAUGGGAUUAGCUAGUAGGUGGGGUAACGGCUCACCUAGGCGACGAUCCCUAGCUGGUCUGAGAGGAUGACCAGACACAGUGGAACUGAGACACGGUCAGUACUCAUACGGGAGGCAGCAGUGGGGAAUAUUGCACGAUGGGCGCAACCCUGAUGCAGCCAUGAAGAGUGUAUGACGAAGGCCUUCGGGUUGUAAAGUACUUUCAGCGGGGAAGCGUUACCCGCAGAAGAAGCACCGGCUAACUCCGUGCCAGCAGCCGCGGUAAUUC